rnacentral:rRNA from 1 species
GACGAACGCUGGCGGCGGGCUUAACACAUGCAAGUCGAACGGAAGCGCCCUGAGUUUGUGGUGUUCUCGGUGGGCGGACGCGGGCGUGUGAGGUGUGUAACGGGCCCUUGACUUUCGGAUAGCUUCAGGAAACGGGAGCUAAGAUCGUAUAGCAUAUGCUGCAGCGUGGUGGGCAUUGGAAAGUUUCGGCUGGUGGGGAUGGACUCGCGGCUUAUGAGCUUGUUGGUGGGGUAGUGGCUGACCAAGGCUGGGACGGGUACCCGGCCGGUGUGGGUGACAGGCGACACUGGGACCGAGAUACGGCCCAGACUCCGACGGGAGGCAGCAGUGGGGAAGAUUGCACAAUGGGCGGAAGGCUGAUGCAGCAAGGCCGCGUGCGGGAUGACGGCCUUCGGGUUGUAAACCGCUUUCGCCUGUGACGAACCGUGAGUGACGGUAAUGGGUAAAGAAGCAACGGCUAACUACGUG